rnacentral:rRNA from 1 species
UUAAGCGACUAAGCGUACACGGUGGAUGCCCUGGCAGUCAGAGGCGAUGAAGGACGUGCUAAUCUGCGAUAAGCGUCGGUAAGGUGAUAUGAACCGUUAUAACCGGCGAUUUCCGAAUGGGGAAACCCAGUGUGUUUCGACACACUAUCAUUAACUGAAUCCAUAGGUUAAUGAGGCGAACCGGGGGAACUGAAACAUCUAAGUACCCCGAGGAAAAGAAAUCAACCGAGAUUCCCCCAGUAGCGGCGAGCGAACGGGGAGGAGCCCAGAGCCUGAAUCAGUGUGUGUGUUAGUGGAAGUGCCUGGAAAGGCGCGCGAUACAGGGUGACAGCCCCGUACACAAAAAUGCACAUGCUGUGAGCUCGAUGAGUAGGGCGGGACACGUGGUAUCCUGUCUGAAUAUGGGGGACCAUCCUCCAAGGCUAAAUACUCCUGACUGACCGAUAGUGAACCAGUACCGUGAGGGAAAGGCGAAAAGAACCCCGGCGAGGGGAGUGAAAAAGAACCUGAAACCGUGUACGUACAAGCAGUGGGAGCACAGAGCAAUCUGUGUGACUGCGUACCUUUUGUAUAAUGGGUCAGCGACUUAUAUUCUGUAGCAAGGUUAACCGAAUAGGGGAGCCGAAGGGAAACCGAGUCUUAACUGGGCGUUAAGUUGCAGGGUAUAGACCCGAAACCCGGUGAUCUAGCCAUGGGCAGGUUGAAGGUUGGGUAACACUAACUGGAGGACCGAACCGACUAAUGUUGAAAAAUUAGCGGAUGACUUGUGGCUGGGGGUGAAAGGCCAAUCAAACCGGGAGAUAGCUGGUUCUCCCCGAAAGCUAUUUAGGUAGCGCCUCGUGAAUUCAUCUCCGGGGGUAGAGCACUGUUUCGGCAAGGGGGUCAUCCCGACUUACCAACCCGAUGCAAACUGCGAAUACCGGAGAAUGUUAUCACGGGAGACACACGGCGGGUGCUAACGUCCGUCGUGAAGAGGGAAACAACCCAGACCGCCAGCUAAGGUCCCAAAGUCAUGGUUAAGUGGGAAACGAUGUGGGAAGGCCCAGACAGCCAGGAUGUUGGCUUAGAAGCAGCCAUCAUUUAAAGAAAGCGUAAUAGCUCACUGGUCGAGUCGGCCUGCGCGGAAGAUGUAACGGGGCUAAACCACGCACCGAAGCUGCGGCAGCGACACUGUGUGUUGUUGGGUAGGGGAGCGUUCUGUAAGCCUGUGAAGGUGUGCUGUGAGGCAUGCUGGAGGUAUCAGAAGUGCGAAUGCUGACAUAAGUAACGAUAAAGCGGGUGAAAAGCCCGCUCGCCGGAAGACCAAGGGUUCCUGUCCAACGUUAAUCGGGGCAGGGUGAGUCGACCCCUAAGGCGAGGCCGAAAGGCGUAGUCGAUGGGAAACAGGUUAAUAUUCCUGUACUUGGUGUUACUGCGAAGGGGGGACGGAGAAGGCUAUGUUGGCCGGGCGACGGUUGUCCCGGUUUAAGCGUGUAGGCUGGUUUUCCAGGCAAAUCCGGAAAAUCAAGGCUGAGGCGUGAUGACGAGGCACUACGGUGCUGAAGCAACAAAUGCCCUGCUUCCAGGAAAAGCCUCUAAGCAUCAGGUAACAUCAAAUCGUACCCCAAACCGACACAGGUGGUCAGGUAGAGAAUACCAAGGCGCUUGAGAGAACUCGGGUGAAGGAACUAGGCAAAAUGGUGCCGUAACUUCGGGAGAAGGCACGCUGAUAUGUAGGUGAAGUCCCUCGCGGAUGGAGCUGAAAUCAGUCGAAGAUACCAGCUGGCUGCAACUGUUUAUUAAAAACACAGCACUGUGCAAACACGAAAGUGGACGUAUACGGUGUGACGCCUGCCCGGUGCCGGAAGGUUAAUUGAUGGGGUCAGCGCAAGCGAAGCUCUUGAUCGAAGCCCCGGUAAACGGCGGCCGUAACUAUAACGGUCCUAAGGUAGCGAAAUUCCUUGUCGGGUAAGUUCCGACCUGCACGAAUGGCGUAAUGAUGGCCAGGCUGUCUCCACCCGAGACUCAGUGAAAUUGAACUCGCUGUGAAGAUGCAGUGUACCCGCGGCAAGACGGAAAGACCCCGUGAACCUUUACUAUAGCUUGACACUGAACAUUGAGCCUUGAUGUGUAGGAUAGGUGGGAGGCUUUGAAGUGUGGACGCCAGUCUGCAUGGAGCCGACCUUGAAAUACCACCCUUUAAUGUUUGAUGUUCUAACGUGGACCCGUGAUCCGGGUUGCGGACAGUGUCUGGUGGGUAGUUUGACUGGGGCGGUCUCCUCCUAAAGAGUAACGGAGGAGCACGAAGGUUGGCUAAUCCUGGUCGGACAUCAGGAGGUUAGUGCAAUGGCAUAAGCCAGCUUGACUGCGAGCGUGACGGCGCGAGCAGGUGCGAAAGCAGGUCAUAGUGAUCCGGUGGUUCUGAAUGGAAGGGCCAUCGCUCAACGGAUAAAAGGUACUCCGGGGAUAACAGGCUGAUACCGCCCAAGAGUUCAUAUCGACGGCGGUGUUUGGCACCUCGAUGUCGGCUCAUCACAUCCUGGGGCUGAAGUAGGUCCCAAGGGUAUGGCUGUUCGCCAUUUAAAGUGGUACGCGAGCUGGGUUUAGAACGUCGUGAGACAGUUCGGUCCCUAUCUGCCGUGGGCGCUGGAGAACUGAGGGGGGCUGCUCCUAGUACGAGAGGACCGGAGUGGACGCAUCACUGGUGUUCGGGUUGUCAUGCCAAUGGCACUGCCCGGUAGCUAAAUGCGGAAGAGAUAAGUGCUGAAAGCAUCUAAGCACGAAACUUGCCCCGAGAUGAGUUCUCCCUGACCCUUUAAGGGUCCUGAAGGAACGUUGAAGACGACGACGUUGAUAGGCCGGGUGUGUAAGCGCAGCGAUGCGUUGAGCUAACCGGUACUAAUGAACCGUGAGGCUUAACCUU